rnacentral:misc_RNA from 1 species
AUUCCGUAGGUGAACCUGCGGAAGGAUCAUUAUUGGAUUUUGAAACUUCAGGCUGCUGCUGGCUCUCCUCGGAGGGCAUGUGCACGCUUGUUGUCCAUUAUUUCUCCCACUGUGCACAAAUUGUAGACCUUUCAGUAGGCCUAUGUUGUUUUUCACAAUCUCUGAAUGUAAUAGAAUGGUUUUGAAUCUUGGGAAAUACAAUACAACUUUCAGCAACGGAUCUCUUGGCUCCC